UCCAGAGUGUUUCUCUCUCUGUGACGGUUUCCAGGCAGCCCGGGUGCAGCGGCUUCUCCUUUCCGCGGCUGCAGGCAGGGAAGGGAGGCCAGUGCGAUCCUAGAGAUUAUUUAUGAGCAACAAGAGUAAUAACUCAGCUUCGGACUUCCACGCUGGGCAGCCAGCACGACGGUUCCUCCCCCGGGGCUGCAUGUGGGCUGAGAGUCGAGGUCAGGUGGGGAGAGUGCUUGGCUGAGCUGAGCGCCAGGCCAGGUGCUUCACCUGCAGACCCUCCCUGCCCGCGGGAGUGACAGAGGGUACUUGUCACCUUCUCCUUGUCCGGCUGCCCGACGUGACCCCGGGGCCUGUGUUGGGUUCCCACUCUCACCUCCUUCACCAGCUGUGAGACAGGGGACCUCUCUAAACACCAGCAAGUGAAGCUCAAAAAUGAGGAUACUUCGGUCUCUUUUGCUGGAAUUUGCUUUCAUGAGUAGCAGGUAGCUGUGAUGUUCUAAUAGAAACAUUCUUUCUCAGCCUCACCAUGGAGCAGUUGAGCGCGGCAAACACCCGCUUCGCCUUGGACCUGUUCCGCACCCUGAAUGAGAGCGAUCCUGCCGGCAACAUCUUCAUCUCCCCCUUCAGCAUUUCAUCGGCGCUGGCCAUGGUCUUUCUGGGGGCCAGAGGCAAUACCGCAGCGCAGAUGUCCAAGGUCAGCAGAAACUAGCCUUCCCAGCUGGUGCCUACCACACAGACGUUCCAGAGAGCUGUGCCUUUGAGCUCUUGCAGCGCGUUUGUAGAAAACUGUAACUCGGUGUUCAGCAUUGUGUGUUAUAUUGUACAUUACGCUUCGUGAAGUCAGACUUUGAGAAAAAGCCCCAGGAAAAGCCCGGCGGGACGCAGGCUGCGCCUCAGGAGCCAGUCUUUACUGAGAACCUGCGAUGUGCCAGGCUCUGUUUUCAGUGGGACUGAGGGCGGAGCGGGAAGAAAGCUGACCACGCCCUGCCGUGCGCUGCUUCUGUGCCGGCAAGGAGUCGGCUCGGCUGUCCUGUAAGCCACGUCCUCCCCCGCCCAGGAGUGUCCAGCUUCGGCUUUGCCUGUGUGAUGCUCAGCUACUCACAUAAUGCCGGCUGUGUCUUGAUACUUUUGAGCACAAUGACACCUAGUCGAGAAGUCAAGGGGACACGAGAGCCUGUGAGUCCGCGUUCCUACCCCUGGGCCUGGCACCAGGUGUGCCCCGGCGGGCCGUGACCCCCGUUCCGGUGUGAGCAGGAGGGCCCUGCAGGGAGAGGGCGCGGGGAUGCCGAGGGUCCUGCCUGUCCUUGGUGGGUGUGGAGGGCACCUGUGUGCGGGCCGUGUUUUAUGCUGAGAGGGGAACUCUGGCUUUCCUUGAGAAGAGGGGUGAAAGGGAAGGUCUUUCUAACACACGGGUCACAGAUUACGCCGCACUUAGAGCCAGGCAAGGUCCAGCCCGGAUUCACGUUUAUGGGCCUGUUCCAGCUGCAAAGCUUCUAUUCUGUACUCUAGGAAAAACCAUCCUUUUUCAUCACUGCGGAUACAAAAGCAUUUCAAAGUUUUCAAAAAUCCACCUAAAAAAAAAUCCUGGUACUAGUCAUGGUUAGUCGGCCCCUGCAAGGUAAUCUGAGCUUCUGUUUUGAGGCUUUCCAGGAACUUUAUAAGCUCAGUAAAGAACCGUCUUAAGAUUUUACCCCCAUUUCCAGGAAAGAGAUCCCUCACAGCACCCCCCCCAAAAACA